UGCGGAAGGACAUGCGCGAGAGUCAUAUA
rnacentral:rRNA from 1 species